rnacentral:rRNA from 1 species
UACGCACGCUGGCGGCGUGCUUAACACAUGCAAGUCGAACGGAAAGGCCCUGCUUCUGUGGGGUGCUCGAGUGGCGAACGGGUGAGUAACACGUGAGUAACCUGCCCUUGACUUUGGGAUAACUUCAGGAAACUGGGGCUAAUACCGGAUAGGAGCUCCUGCUGCAUGGUGGGGGUUGGAAAGUUUCGGCGGUUGGGGAUGGACUCGCGGCUUAUCAGCUUGUUGGUGGGGUAGUGGCUUACCAAGGCUUUGACGGGUAGCCGGCCUGAGAGGGUGACCGGCCACAUUGGGACUGAGAUACGGCCCAGACUCCUACGGGAGGCAGCAGUGGGGAAUAUUGCACAAUGGGCGGAAGCCUGAUGCAGCAACGCCGCGUGCGGGAUGACGGCCUUCGGUUUGUAAACCGCUUUCGCCUGUGACGAAGCGUGAGUGACGGUAAUGGGUAAAGAAGCACCGGCUAACUACGUG